rnacentral:rRNA from 1 species
GAAGUCUGAUCCUGGCUAUGAGUGAACGCUUGUAACACAUAUCUAACACAUGCGAGUCUGGGCCCUAGGAGGGUUGGCAGCGGCGCCCGGGUGUUUAAAACAACGACCAUAACAACUAGAAGCGACCGAAAAUGUCCUGAUGCUUUCUGCUUUCGUGAUGAGACAGGUAAAAAAUCUUUAGAUGCUUUGUAUGGAAGGUGAGUUGGUCCGAUUAAGUUGUUGGCGGAGGUAAAGGCCCACCAAGCUGUUGAUCGGUAGCUGAUCUAAGUGGAUGCACAGCCACAUCGGAACUGGAAAAGGUUCGAACCCCUACGGGGGGCUGCAGUGGGGAAUCUUGAGCAAUGAGCGGAAGCUUGACUCAGUGAUGUUAUGUGGGUGAUGAAGGAUAGUUCGUAAAGCCCUUCAGGUAACGAGAAUACAAUGAUGUGCUGUUACUGUAGAAAGUUCCGGCCAAUACCUGUGCCAGCAGCCGCGGUAAGACAGGAGGAGCGAGCGUUAUUCAGCUUGAUUGGGCGUAAAGGGUACGUAGGUGGUCAAUCAAAGUGAUUUGUGUGAAAUUCAAGGACGAGGUCUCGUUGGAGGGCAUUCACAAUUAAUUGACUAGAGUAGUGAGGACGUUGGCGAGAACUGCCCGAGGAGUGCUAAAAUACUAAGAUACGGGUAGGAAUACUGAAGGCGUAAGCAACUGUCGACUUACUAACUGACGCUGAGGUACGAAAGCGUGGGGAGCAAACGGGAUUAGAGACCCCGGUAGUCCACGCAGUAAACGAUGAGUGUUAGAUCCAUUGUUUAAUGCUUUGGUUCGAAACAAACGUGUAAACACUCCGCCUGGGGAGUACUGUCGCAAGGUUAAAACUCAAGGGAAUUGACGGGAGCUUUUUCCAAGCGGUGGAGCAUGUGUUUUAAUCCGAUAACACACGGAUAAUCUUACCAAUCCAUGCAUAUUACGUACUAUCUCAAAACUGGGAUAGGAUUAGUUUUACAGGUGCUGCAUGGCUGUUGUAAGUUCGUAGUUUUGAAAUCGCUAAUUAGAUUUAGAUAACGAAUGCAACCCAUGUCGAUAAAUUCUAAUAAGGACACAAUUUUGAAUUUGUUGCGAGAACGCGGCAAAGUUGUAAACCUUUGGGUAUAUUGAGAAUCCAGAUGUUAUAUCAGGAGGAAGGAAUGGACCACAUCAAGUCGUUAUGGCCUUUAUGGAUUGGGCUAGGCAUGUGCUACAAUGGGGGGGACAGCUAAGAGGCUGAUAGGCAACACUUUAAAUACCCUCGAAGUUCAGAUUGCAACCUGUAACUCGGGAGCAUGAAGGCGAGAUCGGAAGAGCGUCGUGUAGGGAAAGAGUGU